AAGGAAGGAACCUUGACGUGGUUCAUGUGCUUUAAAACAAAUACCUUCCAGACAGAAACUUUCUGACACCUUGUGUAUAACAUGGAAUGCAUUGAGGAUUUUGAGAGAUGAAAGUAUAAUUUUUAUCAAUUUUAAAUAAAAGCAGAUGUUUUAGAGUAUUUAGAGUAUUAUUAAAUAAAAUGUAAUGUACGGAAGUUGAGUGAAGUUUGUUUGAAUGGAAUAAGCAGUAUGAAGAAUAAAUGCUUAAGAAGAUGUUUAACAACGAUAAUGAACUUCAAAUAUUUUUUUUAAAUGCUAUUGUUAAUUUUAGUUAAUUUAUUUUAACGUUUUAUUUAUGUAACAGUG